UACAGAGGUCUCAAGCGUUGUUCGGAUUCAUUGGGCGUAAAGGGUGCGUAGGCGGCGCGGUAAGUCGGGGUGUGAAAAUCCCCCGAGCUUUAACUUGGGAAUUGCGCUCGAAACUACGGAGCUGGAGUGUGGCAGAGGAAGGUGGAAUUCCACGUGUAGCGGUGAAAUGCGUAGAUAUGUGGAGGAACACCGAUGGCGGAAGGCAGCCUUCUGGGCUGCACCUGACGCUGAGCCGCGAAAGCCAGGGGAGCGCAACGGG
rnacentral:rRNA from 1 species